rnacentral:rRNA from 1 species
UACGUAGGGGGCAAGCGUUGUCCGGAUUUAUUGGGCGUAAAGAGCGUGUAGGCGGCCAGACAGGUCAGCUGUGAAAACUCGAGGCUCAACCUCGAGACGUCGGUUGAAACCGUCUGGCUAGAGUCCGGAAGAGGAGAGUGGAAUUCCCGGUCGUAGCGGUGAAAUGCGCAGAUAUCGGGAAGAACACCCGUGGCGAAGGCGGCUCUCUGGGACGGUACUGACGCUGAGACGCGAAAGCGUGGGGAGCGAACAGGAUUG